rnacentral:lncRNA from 1 species
UUUGAAAAGUUCUUUUUAUACUAUACUAGUUAUAUUGUGUUUUCCAAAAAGAAUUCUUGCGAUCAAUUUAGUAUCAUCUAUGCAUUGUCUACUCUCGAAUAUAUAAAUAUAUAUAGGUAGUGUUUAGUGUAGGUAGGGUUUAAGCUUAGGUAGGGUUUAGGGUUAAGUAGGGUUUAGGGUUAAAAAAGGUUUAGGGUUAUAAAGGUUUUAGGGUUAGGUAGGGUUUAGGAAGUAGGCUUUAGGGUUAUGUAGGGUUAGGGUUAGGUAGGGUUUAGGGUUAGGUAGGGUUUAGGGUUAGAAAGGGUUU